rnacentral:rRNA from 1 species
UACGAAGGGGGCUAGCGUUGCUCGGAAUCACUGGGCGUAAAGCACACGUAGGCGGCUUUUUAAGUCAGGGGUGAAAUCCUGGAGCUCAACUCCAGAACUGCCUUUGAUACUGAGAAGCUUGAGUCCGGGAGAGGUGAGUGGAACUGCGAGUGUAGAGGUGAAAUUCGUAGAUAUUCGCAAGAACACCAGUGGCGAAGGCGGCUCACUGGCCCGGUACUGACGCUGAGGUGCGAAAGCGUGGGGAGCAAACAGG